GACGAACGCUGGCGGCGUGCUUAACACAUGCAAGUCGAACGGAAAGGCCCUGCUUUUGUGGGGUGCUCGAGUGGCGAACGGGUGAGUAACACGUGAGUAACCUGCCCUUGACUUUGGGAUAACUUCAGGAAACUGGGGCUAAUACCGGAUAGGAGCUCCUGCUGCAUGGUGGGGGUUGGAAAGUUUCGGCGGUUGGGGAUGGACUCGCGGCUUAUCAGCUUGUUGGUGGGGUAGUGGCUUACCAAGGCUUUGACGGGCAGUCGGCCUGAGAGGGUGACCGGCCACAUUGGGACUGAGAUACGGCCCAGACUCCUACGGGAGGCAGCAGUGGGGAAUAUUGCACAAUGGGCGGAAGCCUGAUGCAGCAACGCCGCGUGCGGGAUGACGGCCUUCGGGUUGUAAACCGCUUUCGCCUGUGACGAAGCGUGAGUGACGGUAAUGGGUAAAGAAGCACCGGCUAACUACGUG
rnacentral:rRNA from 1 species